UGCCGGUUGGUCCCCACCCGAUCCCAUUCCGAACUCGGUCGUUAAGCCUGCCAGGGCCAAUGGUACUUCGUCUUAAGGCGCGGGAGAGUAGGUCGUCGCCAGGU
rnacentral:rRNA from 1 species